UACGUAGGGUGCGAGCGUUAAUCGGAAUUACUGGGCGUAAAGCGUGCGCAGGCGGUGAUGUAAGACCGAUGUGAAAUCCCCGGGCUUAACCUGGGAACUGCAUUGGUGACUGCAUUGCUGGAGUAUGGCAGAGGGGGGUGGAAUUCCACGUGUAGCAGCGAAAUGCGUAGAGAUGUGGAGGAACACCGAUGGCGAAGGCAGCCCCCUGGGCCAAUACUGACGCUCAUGCACGAAAGCGUGGGGAGCAAACAGG
rnacentral:rRNA from 1 species